UUUUGAAAACUUGAGAUUUUAUGUUUUGAGAUUGGAACCACGCAAUAAACGUUAAUCUUCUAAUCGCUGAUUCUUCAUCAGCUCUCUUGACUUUUAUAUUGUGAUCAGCCUUAUAUUUAGUUGAAGUAGCAACAAAUCAAAGGGCAAGAUACUUGAGACUAGACUGACUGCAUUUUAAUUCUUAUGAUAUUUGGAAAAUAUAAGUUUUGAAUAUUUGCUUUUAAAUGGUACAUAAACUGAAGGAACCCAUAGUUUUAAGACAUCCCCAUCAAGUGUUAUUUGGAGAGAAUCAUGGUAACCUGUCAUGGCUCCCGUAAUAUGUGGGGGCAGCUGAUGUGAAUGGUUGAAAGCUUCUGUUGUCGUUGCUUGUUCUAUAAAGAAAUCAUCUAAUGUUCAAUAACGAGAUUGAGAAAACAGCAACUGGAACCUUGACACUCGUGUAGAGCCUGAAAUGAAUUAUUCAAAGAAGUAAAUGUUAGAAGCGCAAAUUAGCUUUUUCUGUGAACCUUCCUAACCAGGCAGAGCAUUGGGAAGAGGCCGCCAAUUGCCAAUACUGAAUUUCUAGGAUACUAUACCAUCCAGUAUCUAGAUUUUGUGUUUGAUCUUUCUUGCUUCUGGAUUACUUGCAUGACAUUCAUGUUUUCUUGUAUUACUUAAAAUAAAACUUCUUUUUUUGUGGUCUAGCCAAAUACUCCA